rnacentral:lncRNA from 1 species
UUAUAUGUUAUAUCUGACAAACAACUAAUACGGUUAUGUAUAUGUAAUAAUUUUUUAAAAAUGGUUAUUUAUGUUUUUUUUCUUUUUAUUUACCAGAUCAAUUUAGAAUGACGAAAAAUUGAUAUUGUGUGCUAUUUAUUUGGUCUAUAUUAACAAAAAUGAUAGGGAUUUUAUGUAGUUUAAUAAAGAUAAGUUGUGGUAUUAUAUAUUUUUUUAAUAAAAGGGAAAAAUAGCCCCAAUAGGUAGACGGAAAGGGCAUUUUAGGCUCAAUAAAUAAACAGAAAGAACAUUUUAGGCUCAAUAGGUAGAUUGAUGAUAUUUUUACAUCAUUUCACAUAGUUUAAGGGCAUUUUAGACCCUUUUUCGUUUAUUUAAUAAACAAUCCUCACAUGUAAAUAUUUUUGUGCAAACUCUACAAGAUUAUUGAGUUCAUUUUCAUCAAUAAAUCCACUCUUGUUAGUGUCAGCAAAUUUCAUCCCCCGCCAGCCUUUUAUCCGGCAAAACCUACCUCCGGUGGAUCGCACCACCUCUUGAAGUUCUUCUUUGCUUAUUUUCCCAUCCUUGUCUACAUCAAACUUCUUCAACCAUUCCUUGAACUCUUCCAAAUUCAUUUCGAGUUUCCCAUCUGCUGAAUAAUGGACUUUCUGCGAUUGUAUAUUCUUGAGCGCCAUAAUUAGAACAGAGUGAACUAAAUUUGAACGGAUUAGAGAGAGUGUAUUUUACAAGGUGAUGGAGAGGAAGAUUCAUGAAUUUAUAGUGUGUAUAGUAGGUGUCUAUUUCAUCUUCACGAAGGUGCUUUCUUUACAACAUGCUGAUAAAAAUUCUUUUUUUUUUUUUUUAAAAGGACAUUAUUAUAAAAUUAUAAUCCAUUAAUAUUUGUUCAUUCUCUACUUUUGGAAAAAGAAUCAAGAAAAUAGGGGUGUUAAACGUGUACCACGGCAAGUGCUCCCUUAAUAAUUACUUUUAAGAUUGAUUAACAUAAACCGCACAGUUGAAAGAAAAAGGUUGAUCUUUUUUG